rnacentral:ncRNA from 2 species
AAUACCAGAACGGGAGAACGGGGAUUCGUCCCCGUGCCGAAGGAGCAACCGCCCCGGUAAACUCUCAGGCCUCAGGACCGUUCUGGUAAC